rnacentral:rRNA from 1 species
CUGGCGGCGUGCCUAAUACAUGCAAGUCGAACGGUCUUUCUAUGGAAGCUUGCUUCCACUGAGAAGAUAGUGGCGGACGGGUGAGUAACACGUGGGUAACCUGCCCAUAAGAGGGGGAGUAACAUCCGGAAACGGGUGCUAAUACCGCAUAGUUUUCUUGAUCGCAUGAUCGAGAAAGGAAAGACGGCCUUUGUGCUGUCGCUUAUGGAUGGACCCGCGGCGUAUUAGUUAGUUGGUGAGGUAACGGCUCACCAAGACGAUGAUACGUAGCCGACCUGAGAGGGUGAUCGGCCACAUUGGGACUGAGACACGGCCCAAACUCCUACGGGAGGCAGCAGUAGGGAAUCUUCCGCAAUGGACGAAAGUCUGACGGAGCAACGCCGCGUGAGUGAAGAAAGGUUUUCGGAUCGUAAAACUCUGUUGUCAGAGAAGAACAAGUCGGAGAGUAACUGCUCCGGCCUUGACGGUAUCUGACCAGAAAGCCACGGCUAACUACGUGCCAGCCGCAGC